GUAGGGAAUAUUGCAUAAUGGGCGAAAGCCUGAUGCAGCAACGCCGCGUGUACGAUGAAGGCCUUCGGGUCGUAAAGUACUUUUGGAGGGGAUGAGGAAGGACAGUACCCUUCGAAUAAGCUUCGGCUAACUACGUGCCAGCAGCCGCGGUAAAACGUAGGAAGCGAGCGUUAUCCGGAUUUACUGGGCGUAAAGCGCGUGUAGGCGGUUGUGUAAGUUGGAUGUGAAAGCUCCUGGCUUAACUGGGAGAGGUCGUUCAAUACUGCAUGACUAGAGGAUGAGAGAGGGAAGUGGAAUUCCGGGUGUAGUGGUGAAAUGCGUAGAUAUCCGGAGGAACACCAGUGGCGAAAGCGGCUUCCUGGCUCAUAACUGACGCUCAGACGCGAAAGCUAGGGGAGCGAACGGGAUUAGAAACCCCAGUAGUCC
rnacentral:rRNA from 1 species